rnacentral:rRNA from 1 species
AACGAACGCUGGCGGCAUGCCUAACACAUGCAAGUCGAACGAGACCUUCGGGUCUAGUUGCGCACGGGUGCGUAACGCGUGGGAACCUGCCCUUAGGUUCGUAAUAUCUCCCCGACUUGGGUGCUAAUACCGGAUAAUGUCUUCGGACCAAAGAUUUCUCGCCUUUGGAUGGGCCCGCGUUGGAUUAGCUAGUUGUUAGGGUAAAAGCCUACCAAGGCGAGGAUCCAUAGCUGGUCUGAGAGGAUGAGCAGCAACACUGGGACUGAGACACGGCCCAGACGCCGACGGGAGGCAGCAGUGGGGAAUAUUGGACAACGGGGGAAAGGCGGAAGCAGCAAAGCCGCGUGAGUGAUGAAGGCCUUAGGGUUGUAAAGAUCUUUUAACCGGGAUGAUAAUGACAGUACCGGGAGAAUAAGCGCCGGCUAACUCCGUG